rnacentral:rRNA from 1 species
GAUGAACGCUGGCGGCGUGCCUAAUACAUGCAAGUCGAGCGAACAGAUGAGAAGCUUGCUUCUCUGAUGUUAGCGGCGGACGGGCGAGUAACACGUGGGUAACCUACCUAUAAGACUGGGAUAACUCCGGGAAACCGGGGCUAAUACCGGAUAAUAUUUUGAACCGCAUGGUUCAAUAGGGAAAGAUGGUUUCGGCUGUCACUUAUAGAUGGCACCGCGCCGUAUUAGCUAGGUGGUAAGGAUACGGCUGACCAAGGCGACGAUACGUAGCCGACCUGAGAGGGUGAACGGCCACACUGGAACUGAGACACGGUCCAGACUCCUACGGGAGGCAGCAGUAGGGAAUCUUCCGCAAUGGGCGAAAGCCUGACGGAGCAACGCCGCGUGAGUGAUGAAGGUCUUCGGAUCGUAAAACUCUGUUGUUAGGGAAGAACAAAUUUGUUAAUAACUGAACAAGUCUUGACGGUACCUAACCAGAAAGCCACGGCUAACUACGUGCCAGCAGCCGCCGUAA